rnacentral:rRNA from 1 species
GAUCCUGGCUCAGAUUGAACGCUGGCGGCAGGCCUAACACAUGCAAGUCGAACGGUAACAGAAAGCAGCUUGCUGCUUUGCUGACGAGUGGCGGACGGGUGAGUAAUGUCUGGGAAACUGCCCGAUGGAGGGGGAGUAACUACUGGAAACGGUAGCUAAUACCGCAUAACGUCGCAAGACCAAAGAGGGGGACCGUUCGGGCCGUCUUGCCACUCGGAGUGUGCCCACGAUGGGAGUUAGCUAGUAGGUGGGG